AACGAACGCUGGCGGCAUGCCUAACACAUGCAAGUCGAACGAGACCUUCGGGUCUAGUGGCGCACGGGUGCGUAACGCGUGGGAACCUGCCCAUAGGUUGGGAAUAACUCCCCGAAAGGGGUGCUAAUACCGGAUAAUGUCUUCGGACCAAAGAUCUAUCUCCUUUGGAUGGGGCCGCGCUGGAUUAGCUUGUUGGUAGGGUAAAAGCCUAUCAAGGCGACGAUCCAUAGCUGGUCUGAGAGGAUGAUCAGCCACACUGGGACUGAGACACGGCCCAGACUCCUGCGGGAGGCAGCAGUGGGGAAUAUUGGACAAUGGGCGAAAGCCUGAUCCAGCAAUGCCGCGUGAGUGAUGAAGGCCUUAGGGUUGUAAAGCUCGUUUACCCGGGAUGAUAAUGACAGUACCGGGAGAAUAAGCUCCGGCUAACUCCGUG
rnacentral:rRNA from 1 species